rfam:Chelonia mydas contig273715, whole genome shotgun sequence.
GUGAUAUCCACAGACCUACCCUAAAAUUGGAACAAUACAGAGAAGAUUAGCACGGCCCCUGUGCAAGGAUGAUACGCAAAGAGACAAGGGCAGAAACACAGUUAA